rnacentral:lncRNA from 1 species
CUUUUACAUGUGCUUUAGUUGUAAACCCUUCAGCAGGGCUUGGUUGGAUUGUAGAAAGCGCAUAACCAAUGGGGUUGGUCUAUGGUGAUGCAAUAUUCUGUUAGUUCUGCAAGAUUGAUUUGGAGGACUUUUACACGUCUUUAGUUGUAAACCCUUCAGCAGGGCUUGGCUAGCAUAACCAAUGGGGUUGGUCAAUGGGGUUGGUCUAUGGUGAUGCAAUAUUCUGUUAGUUCUGCAAGAUUGAUUUGGAGGACUUUUACCUGUGGUUUAGUUGUAAACCCUUCAGCAGGGCUUGGUUGGAUUGUAGAAAGCGCAUAACCAAUGGGGUUGGUCUAUGGUGAUGCAAUAUUAUGUUAGUUCUGCAAGAUUGAUUUGGAGGACUUUUACACGUUUUAGAUGUAAACCCUUCAGCAGGGCUUGGCUAGCAUAACCAAUGGGGUUGGUCUAUGGUGAUGCAAUAUUCUGUUAGUUCUGCAAGAUUGAUUUGGAGGACUUCUACCCGUGCUUUAGUUGUAAACCCUUCAGCAGGGCUUGGUUGGAUUGUAGAAAGUGCAUAACCAAUGGGGUUGGUCUACGGUGAUGCAAUAUUCUGUUAGUUCUGCAAAAUUGUUUUGGAUGACUUUUACAUGUGCUUUAGUUGUAAACCCUUCAGCAGGGCUUGGUUGGAUUGUAGAAAGUGCAUAACCAAUGGGGUUGGUCUACGGUGAUGCAAUAUUCUGUUAGUUCUGCAAAAUUGUUUUGGAUGACUUUUACAUGUGCUUUAGUUGUAAACCCUUCAGCAGGGCUUGGUUGGAUUGUAGAAACUAGAAAGCACAUAACAUUGGGGUUGGUCUACGGUGAUGCAAAAUGCGCAAGUACCGUGAGAACUAUAUGCUAUUUCCGAACAUAAAAAUUAUUGUUGCUUAUCUCUUGUUGUGAGCCUGUGAGGACACAACCACAAACUAAUAAUUAAAGCACUAGAAAUUGGUUCCUGCAAUCAGUUAUCUGAUAAUCUUUCUCGUUGUAUUUGUCUGCAUAGAAGGAAUAUCCAUAUAUUUGUAGUGCAAACAAAAUGAGCCUUUUCAGGUCUUCUUUGUUGUGACUGAUCAGAUUUAUAUUUGACAAGUUGGCUUAUACUGACAUAGUGACAUGCUGUAGUUGCUAGACCCGUUAUUCUAUAU